GUGGGGAAUAUUGCACAAUGGGCGCAAGCCUGAUGCAGCAACGCCGCGUGAGGGAUGACGGCCUUCGGGUUGUAAACCUCUUUUAGUAGGGAAGAAGCGAAAGUGACGGUACCUGCAGAAAAAGCACCGGCUAACUACGUGCCAGCAGCCGCGGUAAUACGUAGGGUGCAAGCGUUGUCCGGAAUUAUUGGGCGUAAAGAGCUCGUAGGCGGCUUGUCGCGUCUGCUGUGAAAUCCCGGGGCUCAACCCCGGGCCUGCAGUGGGUACGGGCAGGCUAGAGUGCGGUAGGGGAGAUUGGAAUUCCUGGUGUAGCGGUGGAAUGCGCAGAUAUCAGGAGGAACACCGAUGACGAAGGCAGAUCUCUGGGCCGCUACUGACGCUGAGGAGCGAAAGCAUGGGGAGCGAACAGGAUUAGAAACCCUAGUAGUCC
rnacentral:rRNA from 1 species